rnacentral:rRNA from 1 species
GGUUAAGCGACCAAGCGUACACGGUGGAUGCCCUGGCAGUCAGAGGCGAUGAAGGACGUGCUAAUCUGCGAAAAGCGCCGGUAAGGUGAUAUGAACCGUUAUAACCGGCGAUGUCCGAAUGGGGAAACCCAGUGUGACUCGUCACACUAUCAUUAACUGAAUCCAUAGGUUAAUGAGGCGAACCGGGGGAACUGAAACAUCUAAGUACCCCGAGGAAAAGAAAUCAACCGAGAUUCCCCCAGUAGCGGCGAGCGAACGGGGAGGAGCCCAGAGCCUGAAUCAGCAUGUGUGUUAGUGGAAGCGUCUGGAAAGGCGCGCGAUACAGGGUGAGAGCCCCGUACACAAAAGCGCACAUGCUGUGAGCUCGAUGAGUAGGGCGGGACACGUGGUAUCCUGUCUGAAUAUGGGGGGACCAUCCUCCAAGGCUAAAUACUCCUGACUGACCGAUAGUGAACCAGUACCGUGAGGGAAAGGCGAAAAGAACCCCGGCGAGGGGAGUGAAACAGAACCUGAAACCGUGUACGUACAAGCAGUGGGAGCCUCUCUUUAUGGGGGGUGACUGCGUACCUUUUGUAUAAUGGGUCAGCGACUUAUAUUCUGUAGCAAGGUUAACCGCAUAGGGGAGCCGAAGGGAAACCGAGUCUUAAUUGGGCGUUAAGUUGCAGGGUAUAGACCCGAAACCCGGUGAUCUAGCCAUGGGCAGGUUGAAGGUUGGGUAACACUAACUGGAGGACCGAACCGACUAAUGUUGAAAAAUUAGCGGAUGACCUGUGGCUGGGGGUGAAAGGCCAAUCAAACCGGGAGAUAGCUGGUUCUCCCCGAAAGCUAUUUAGGUAGCGCCUCGUGAACUCAUCUCCGGGGGUAGAGCACUGUUUCGGCUAGGGGGCCAUCCCGGCUUACCAACCCGAUGCAAACUGCGAAUACCGGAGAAUGUUAUCACGGGAGACACACGGCGGGUGCUAACGUCCGUCGUGAAGAGGGAAACAACCCAGACCGCCAGCUAAGGUCCCAAAGUCAUGGUUAAGUGGGAAACGAUGUGGGAAGGCCCAGACAGCCAGGAUGUUGGCUUAGAAGCAGCCAUCAUUUAAAGAAAGCGUAAUAGCUCACUGGUCGAGUCGGCCUGCGCGGAAGAUGUAACGGGGCUAAACCAUGCACCGAAGCUGCGGCAGCGACACUGUGUGUUGUUGGGUAGGGGAGCGUUCUGUAAGCCGUUGAAGGUGUCCUGUGAGGGGUGCUGGAGGUAUCAGAAGUGCGAAUGCUGACAUAAGUAACGAUAAAGCGGGUGAAAAGCCCGCUCGCCGGAAGACCAAGGGUUCCUGUCCAACGUUAAUCGGGGCAGGGUGAGUCGACCCCUAAGGCGAGGCCGAAAGGCGUAGUCGAUGGGAAACGGGUUAAUAUUCCCGUACUUGGUGUUACUGCGAAGGGGGGACGGAGAAGGCUAUGUUGGCCGGGCGACGGUAGUCCCGGUUUAAGCGUGUAGGUGUGUGUUCCAGGUAAAUCCGGUUCACUUUAACACUGAGGCGUGAUGACGAGGCACCACGGUGCUGAAGCAACAAAUGCCCUGCUUCCAGGAAAAGCCUCUAAGCAUCAGGUAACAUCAAAUCGUACCCCAAACCGACACAGGUGGUCAGGUAGAGAAUACCAAGGCGCUUGAGAGAACUCGGGUGAAGGAACUAGGCAAAAUGGUGCCGUAACUUCGGGAGAAGGCACGCUGACACGUAGGUGAAGUGAUUUACUCAUGGAGCUGAAGUCAGUCGAAGAUACCAGCUGGCUGCAACUGUUUAUUAAAAACACAGCACUGUGCAAACACGAAAGUGGACGUAUACGGUGUGACGCCUGCCCGGUGCCGGAAGGUUAAUUGAUGGGGUCAGCGCAAGCGAAGCUCCUGAUCGAAGCCCCGGUAAACGGCGGCCGUAACUAUAACGGUCCUAAGGUAGCGAAAUUCCUUGUCGGGUAAGUUCCGACCUGCACGAAUGGCGUAAUGAUGGCCAGGCUGUCUCCACCCGAGACUCAGUGAAAUUGAACUCGCUGUGAAGAUGCAGUGUACCCGCGGCAAGACGGAAAGACCCCGUGAACCUUUACUAUAGCUUGACACUGAACAUUGAGCCUUGAUGUGUAGGAUAGGUGGGAGGCUUUGAAGCGUGGACGCCAGUCUGCGUGGAGCCGACCUUGAAAUACCACCCUUUAAUGUUUGAUGUUCUAACGUGGACCCGUAAUCCGGGUUGCGGACAGUGUCUGGUGGGUAGUUUGACUGGGGCGGUCUCCUCCUAAAGAGUAACGGAGGAGCACGAAGGUUGGCUAAUCCUGGUCGGACAUCAGGAGGUUAGUGCAAUGGCAUAAGCCAGCUUGACUGCGAGCGUGACGGCGCGAGCAGGUGCGAAAGCAGGUCAUAGUGAUCCGGUGGUUCUGAAUGGAAGGGCCAUCGCUCAACGGAUAAAAGGUACUCCGGGGAUAACAGGCUGAUACCGCCCAAGAGUUCAUAUCGACGGCGGUGUUUGGCACCUCGAUGUCGGCUCAUCACAUCCUGGGGCUGAAGUAGGUCCCAAGGGUAUGGCUGUUCGCCAUUUAAAGUGGUACGCGAGCUGGGUUUAGAACGUCGUGAGACAGUUCGGUCCCUAUCUGCCGUGGGCGCUGGAAGACUGAGGGGGGCUGCUCCUAGUACGAGAGGACCGGAGUGGACGCAUCACUGGUGUUCGGGUUGUCAUGCCAAUGGCACUGCCCGGUAGCUAAAUGCGGAAAAGAUAAGUGCUGAAAGCAUCUAAGCACGAAACUUGCCCCGAGAUGAGUCUUCCCUGAGACUUUGAGUCUCCUGAAGGAACGUUAAAGACGAUGACGUUGAUAGGCCGGGUGUGUAAGCGCAGCGAUGCGUUGAGCUAACCGGUACUAAUGAACCGUGAGGCUUAACCUU